rnacentral:rRNA from 1 species
GUGGGGAAUAUUGGACAAUGGGCGAAAGCCUGAUCCAGCAAUGCCGCGUGAGUGAUGAAGGCCUUAGGGUUGUAAAGCUCUUUUACCAGGGAUGAUAAUGACAGUACCUGGAGAAUAAGCUCCGGCUAACUCCGUGCCAGCAGCCGCGGUAAUACGGAGGGAGCUAGCGUUGUUCGGAAUUACUGGGCGUAAAGCGCACGUAGGCGGUUACUCAAGUCAGAGGUGAAAGCACGGGGCUCAACCCCGGAACUGCCUUUGAAACUAGGUAACUAGAAUCUUGGAGAGGUCAGUGGAAUUCCGAGUGUAGAGGUGAAAUUCGUAGAUAUUCGGAAGAACACCAGUGGCGAAGGCGACUGACUGGACAAGUAUUGACGCUGAGGUGCGAAAGCGUGGGGAGCAAACAGGAUUAGAAACCCCUGUAGUCC